rfam:Glycine soja cultivar W05 scaffold518_62, whole genome shotgun sequence.
UUCUUAUUGGAUGAUGAUUACCACAUGUCAUGUUCUGAUUGGAUGUCAACUUCAUGAAAGAUGAAAUGAAUUGUUGUUUUCAUUGACCAAUCAGAACAUGACACAUGAAAGUCAUCAUCC